rnacentral:rRNA from 1 species
AGUGAACGCUGGCGGUAGGCCUAACACAUGCAAGUCGAACGGCAGCACAGUAAGAGCUUGUUCUUACGGGUGGCGAGUGGCGGACGGGUGAGGAAUACAUCGGAAUCUACUUUUUCGUGGGUGAUAACGUAGGGAAACUUACGCUAAUACCGCAUACGACCUACGGGGGAAAGCAGGGGAUCUUCGGACCUUGCGCGAUUGAAUGAGCCGAUGUCGGAUUAGCUAGUUGGCGGGGUAAAGGCCCACCAAGGCGACGAUCCGUAGCUGGUCUGAGAGGAUGAUCAGCCACACUGGAACUGAGACACGGUCCAGACUCCUACGGGAGGCAGCAGUGGGGAAUAUUGGACAAUGGGCGCAAGCCUGAUCCAGCCAUACCGCGUGUGUGAAGAAGGCCUUCGGGUUGUAAAGCCCUUUUGUUGGGAAAGAAAAGCAGCAGGUUAAUACCCCGCUGUUCUGACGGUACCCAAAGAAUAAGCACCGGCUAACUUCGUG